GCCUGGGUGGUGGAACUGGUAGACACCCGGGACUUAAAAUCCCGUUGCCGCAAGGCAGUGCGGGUUCGAUUCCCGCCCCAGGCACCA
rnacentral:tRNA from 1 species